AACGCACGAGACCUGCGGACCUGCGGAAGGAUCAUUAAUGAGAAACUGCCCCUCGCGGGUAGAUCUCCCACCCUUUGUAAACUUACCUUUGUUGCUUUGGCAGGCCCGUCUCCGGACCGCCGGCUUCGGCUGGCCAGUGCCUGCCAGAGGAUUCUAAAACUCUGUCUGUCAGUGUUGUCUGAGUCUGUAUACAAUCGUUAAAACUUUCAGCAAUGGAUCUCUAGAUCGGAAGAGCACACG
rnacentral:misc_RNA from 1 species